rnacentral:lncRNA from 1 species
AAAACAGUCAAGGGUAAAGUUGGAAAAUGACAGCAAGGGCAUGAGAAAUUCACACACACUGGGACCUACGGCUGGCAUCUAAGAAAACAAUCUUCCCCUCCACUAGCUGGUAUACUUUUUCUACUACACUCAGCUCUACUGAUCCCAGGAGGCUACAAAGAGAGACCACAACACCACCACCUGACAACAGGACCCACUGACCAAUUUUCUAGAGCGCCCUCCACGAAUCAUCCAUCAUGCAAAAUUAUUUUCACUACGCCACAGUACCAGUCUACUUCAAAAGUGCUUAUUUGUUGCUCACUCUAAAGUUUCUGAAUUCCAA